AUUUUUAGUCAACUAAACAAAACCGAGAUAAUAAAAGCUAUGUCCUCCAAACCUAAAGGAUUUGGCGGUAAUUUAGUCCAGUCAGAGGAACCUGUUUGAUAAACGAUAAACCACGAAGAAUCUUACCUACUUUCAAAGUUUGUAUACCGUCAUUAACAGAUAACUUUCAAUGAAAAAGUUAUUACGAUAAAUUUAUUUUAGUAUAUUAGAUCAAGGUGCAGCCUAUAAGUAGGUCUUAAUGGGUUACAAUAAAACUUAUUUAUAACGAACGUAGGGUGUAAUCACCCUACUGAAGGAGGAUUUGAUAGUAAAAUUGGUUUAAUAAGCCUCUUUGAUAAUGGAUCUAAAUUGAGUACAUAUCGCCCGUCGCUUUCAUUACACAGAUGAAAUAAGUCGUAACAUAG
rnacentral:rRNA from 1 species